rnacentral:tRNA from 1 species
UCCAGGAUUGCCUAGUGGACAUGGCACCUGCCCGGUAAGCAGAAGGUUGUGGGUUCGAUUCCCGCUCCUGGAC